rnacentral:lncRNA from 1 species
GGUGGUUAUGGGGUUAGGACUGGUGGUUAUGGGGUUAGGACUGGUGGUUAUGGGGUUAGGACUCAUGGGGUUGGGACUGGUUGUUAUGGGGUUAGGACUGGUUGUUAUGGGGUUAGGACUGGUUGUUAUGGGGUUAGGACUGGUUGUUAUGGGGUUAGGACUGGUGGUUAUGGGGUUAGGACUGGUUGUUAUGAGGUUAGGACUCAUGGGGUUGGGACUGGUUGUUAUGGGGUUGGGACUGGUUGUUAUGGGGUUAGGACUGGUUGUUAUGGGGUUAGGACUGGUGGUUAUGGGGUUGGGACUGGUUGUUAUGAGGUUAGGACUCAUGGGGUUGGGACUGGUUGUUACGGGGUUGGGACUGGUUGUUAUGGGGUUAGGACUGGUUGUUAUGGGGUUAGGACUGGUGGUUAUGGGGUUAGGACUGGUGGUUAUGGGGUUAGGACUGGUUGUUAUGGGGUUAGGACUGGUUCUUAUGGGGUUAGGACUGGUUCUUAUGGGGUUAGGACUGGUUGUUACAG